rnacentral:tRNA from 1 species
GCCGAGAUAGCUCAAUUGGUAGAGCAACGGUAUCGUAAACCGUAGGUCGUGGGUUCGAAUCCCAUUCUCGGCU